AUUGGAGUUGAUGUAGUUCUCAUUUCAAUAAGGUGAGUAUUUGAGCACAUUGGAACAUCAGUACAGGUGGGAGAGAGAUAUGUUCCCAUGGCAAAAAGAGUCCUUAUAAGUAGGUUCAGAAAUACACACCUAUAAGGGCUUUCCUUGCGACCACAUUUGAAUUAAUCUUUAGGAACUUCUGAAUUUGUUGGGUGGAUUGGAUUGUAGCUGUGGUCCUCCUAAUUCUUUAGGUAUUUAGAGGUUGAACCAAGGAAAGAACUAUUGCAUCUUAUUUCUACUUUGCUUUUGCUGUAACUCCAUGUCCCUGGUCAAGACAUUUAAUUAUCUACUCCUAUGUAUAUCUUUGACUGGAGCAUGUGGUUCUCCGUGACUUAUUAGCUUUGUUGUAUCACAAAGACUUGUAGUUUGAUUCAUAAGUGUAAUGGUUAUUUAGGUUAUACCAGUUUCUUCUAAUCUGCCAAUUACUUUUCAUUUGUUCUUUGAAAAAUUCAAAAUUAGUGAGGGACAUUCUCUGGGUAAUGCUUACAUUUUCCAGUCAGACGUGAAAUGUCAGCUGAGAUUUAGAGAUUACUUAUAAAAAGGUAGUAAAGUACCUUUGAGUGGACCAGCAGAAUUCUAGUGCAAGGCAAACACAGGUUCGAGGUGGAGGAGUCAGUGGUCUUAGUUGGGGUGGUUUCAUCCUAUUCUCCUUAGCCAGAUAUGUUGCUCUCUGCUUCCUGGCAUUGACUCUGUGCACCUGUCAAAAUGACUGCUUCACAUUCCCCUGCCGAUGUGUGCCUAUUUCUACCUCUAGUUUUGCUCAUACUGCAUUGUUUUACUUCAUGGGAUGACUCUUUAUGUUUAUCUCCUUAUUCUACCCAUUUUAAAAUUCUUUCCUUAGAAACUUUUCACUGACUAAUUCUGCCUCUAGUGAUCCCUCACAUAUUAUAUGUAUAAUCCUUCAUCUUGUCUUCCUCUUUGAAUUAUAAGCAACUCAAGGGUGGGAUAGUGGCAGAGACUGACUAACUGUUCAAAUCCAUUCCUCUUUUUGGGCAUAUAGUUAGACCAUGUCCUCAGAUUGCUUUGCCUUGCAGUUAGAUGUGACCAUGAGGCUGAGUUCUAACUGAAGCAAUAUAAGCAGAGGUGAUGAACACUACUUUCAGGUCUGACAUAAAAUAUCCUACACAUGGUCCUCUAUGUUCUUUUCCUAUAUACUGGCUGAAUGUAGAGGAUUGAGGGAUUUAGGGGAGGGCAAAUCUGCGAUGGAAGGGGCUUAGGUCUCUGAAGUAUUAUAGGAAAAUAUUCCACCAACAAGGAAUAACUACAUUAUGCUGUUAGAGGAUAAGCAACCAACUUACCAACUUACCACGUAUUAAGCCUCCAGGGUCUUAGGGCUUCUCAGGGUAGUAGCUAGUGUUACUUUAACAAAUAUAGAGGUGAAUUAUAUUAUAUUUGUUUCCUUCACAGUACCUAGAAUAAUGUAGACAGAGGUUCCAUCAGUGCUGGCUGCCUCCUCCAAAAUGUCAAUGUACUGACUGUCACCUUCCAGAGCAAAGAGAAGUAGGAUGAUGUUCUGCUCAGGUCUGGAGAGUGGGAAGCAGGACAAAGAAGAGAUGUUAGCAGUGGAUGGCCCAGUGUGAAGGGAGAGAAGGUGCUUCUAUCAUCUGGUGAUAGGAUGGGGGCUUCAGAAAGAAGCAGGAAGAGCUCUGCGGAUAUUAGAUGGCUCAGUGCUGAGUUCAGGAAGUCACUGUUGUGUUCUUAAAGAGGCUAUGCCAGAGGACUUUGGAGACCCAGAUGCUUCAUUCAAUGAACUACAAAUG